rnacentral:rRNA from 1 species
CCCAACCCUAUAUCACAAUCGCACCGCAGUGUGGGAUAAGGGAACCCUAAGGCGCUCAGCUUUGCUGGGCUUUUGCCAAGGGUAAAUAUCUUGGAGAAUAAGUGGGGGGUAAGACGGGUGCCAGCCGCCGCGGUAACACCCGCGCCACGAGUGGAAGCCGCUAUUAUUGGGCCUAAAGCGUCCGUAGCCGGCCGAGUAAACCUUUUGUGAAAUUGUUAAGCUCAACUUAACAACGGGCAGAAAACACUGCUCGAUUUGGGACCGGGAGGAGUCAGAGGUAUUCCUGGGGGAGCGGUAAAAUGCUUUAAUCCCGGGAGGACCGCCUAUGGCGAAGGCAUCUGACCAUAACGGAUCCGACGGUGAGGGACGAAAGCUAGGGGAGCGAUCCGGAUUAGAUCCUUCUUUUAGGCAAGCGAAAAGCUGGACCAAAAAACCGCCUGGGGCAACUUUCACAUAGUGAAGUUGCACGAACAUCAAAGUUUAAAUCGUUAAUCAUUCUACAAGAACUGAAUUGUUAAUAUACCGUCGAAAAGGUGCUAAUUACCCGAGAAGUCCUAGCAGUAAACUCUGCGAGUUAGGGGGUUGUGCAUCCUUAGAGGGUGCCCAGUAUCGUAGCCAAGGUGUUAAACUCGCCCGCCUGGGAAGUACGGUCGCAGGCUGAAACUAAAGGAUUGGCGGGGGAAAGGGCGAAUUCGCGGCCGCUAAUUCAUUCGCCCUAUAGUGAGUCGUAUUACAAUUCACUGGCGCCGUUUUACAA